rfam:Necator americanus N_americanus-1.0_Cont85.27, whole genome shotgun sequence.
CCAACGGCCCUAUUUAGGGCCAAAUGCUUACGGAUACAAAUCGAA